AACUACUGCGCUCAUGUUUGGAUGCUUGCAGUAAAAUUUUUAAUCAAUAGAUACUGUUUACUGGAUGAUUGUUAUGCAUUUCUUAUAUGGAUGAUUUUUAUGAACUGAUGAUUGUUAUGCAUUUCUUUUAUUAACUGAUGGAUGAUUGUCAUGUAUUUCUUCUAUGAAUGAUUGGAUGAUUGUUAUGCAUUCCUUCUAUGGAUGAGUCGGUUGUUUCAUGAAACGAAUUGUACUGUCCUCUUCAUUUCAUGUCAGAUAAAUUGCUGCGCUCAUGUUUGGAUGCUCGUGGUAAAGUUUUUAAACAUUAGAUGCUGUUAAUUCAUUACUCCAGGCCAUAUCUGGAGACUAGCGAUGUGAAUUGCCUAUUUUGCUUUUGAGUUUAAAUGGGGUAGCAGAGAUGAUAAUCAUCGAUAUAUUCAUGACAGUUACUGUGAUUGCACUGGUCUAAUCAGUUUGUCAAAUCUAUUGAGAAAACACAAGUAAUUUCCUGUCCAAUUGGUUUGUUGAAUCUGUUGAUUAAAAAACAUAAUUACUGGUUCCAUUCGGAUUGUUGAGUCUAUUGAUCAACCUGUAUCUGGGCUGGGUCAAGGAUUUAAAAAUCAGUUUUGUAUCGGCCGAUAUGGGUGAAUUGUAUACGUAUUUGCACAUACAAUACGUGACAUGGGUCUUUAUGGGCCCAUGUUGGAAAUAUGAUACUGUAUCAGCCCAGUUCCUGACUUUACAGUUUUCUGAUGGACUAUCUCCAUUUCCUGCUACAUCAAGCAUACCAGUUUCAGAAGCCCUGAAGUGAGAAUUCCAAACUAUGUUCAACAGAAAGAAUGAGCUAGUUUUAGGGAGAAACACAAACUGUCUUUUACAAAACCAAUAUCAAUCAACCAUAUUGAAAAAUUAUGAGCUGACAUGUAUUUAUGAUUUUCUCAAUCCAAAAGAAACCCUAAUGUAAUCCUAACCAUCAAUUUUCUCUAAUCCUAACAAUUUAUUUCAACAAACCUAUAAAAAUGACAAAAAAUCCCUUAAUCUCAUUACACCCUUAUAGGACUUUGGUAAAUGGACCAUAACUCAAAACGGUAUACAUGAUCUUGGUCAUUUUGGAAAGCUAACUCAAUAUGUUUUCAAAAGGGAUGAAUUUCACGUCUUCAGACAUUGUUUGAUACCCCAAAAGUGGUCCGUAGAUAAGUGGCAAAAUAACCUAGGCUGAGUUAGAAUUCAUUCAAGUAGACUCUUCAUGUGGAACCUUACAAAGGUGGUCCACUCUUCGCAGAAUCACAAGCUCCCAAGGUUAAAAAAAACGACGAUCCAUGCUCGAUGGACUGAAAAUCUAGGCCUUUGAGGGUCAUGAUCAUGGGCUAUUCGAUGAAUGAGGCUGCAUCAGACUCCUCGGGGUGUAAAAAGCUCAUCCUUGAGUUUCGUUCCAAGGGAAAUCUCAAAUGAAGUAUACACGACAGGAAUUUCGAAAUGGAUGGUUGCAAUCACUUUGAGAUUUUGCUAUGUGGCAUGAAGUUCUUUGGCAAGUUUUGGGUGACAUUUGUAUCUGUUUAUGGAUGGAAAUGCUAUGUUCAUUUGUCAGAGUUGUCGUGGAAACAACCUUGUGAUAUCUAUUGGUGCAAUUCUAGAUGAAAAUUUGCUCUCCCUGGAGGUUUAUAUAUUUGACAGGCUUAUCUGCAUUGAAGGAUGAAACUUCAAGCUGUGCAGGGUGUUGGGUUAAAGAUUUCCACUUGCAUUUGUAGAAGGUUGUUGGGGAUCCGCAAGAUGUCAGACCACGUGAUACCUGUAAGCUUCCACAAGGUGUUCAUCUUCAUUUUCACACACAUUGAUAAUAUUAAAUGUUGCAGAGCCAUGUUCAUAUCAUCGUGUGCCUUCCAGAACUUGCUAAGACCAUUACAGUGUUGGGGAUGCUGGAACCUAUUCCUCUUAUUUCCUUGACUACAUGGAGUGAAGAUCUGAAAGAGGGCCUUGGAAAUGUGUGGGUUUCCAUCAUUGGCGUGCCCAUGCAAUGGAGUGAAGCUGGAUGAAAGAAGAGGAGGCGAGCUGAAAAUGGAGGUCCACUCGAGGAUAAGGAAGGGCAGGAGGUUGAAGUUGAAUAUGACAUGGCUUGGACAAGGUUGCCUCAAAUGAAGUUUGGAAAUAUUUAUCUGCUGAUAAUUGAACCCUUUCGAGAUUUUGGAAAUCAAGGAGACGAUGUGGCAGGUAGUCUCUAGCAUUGAGAUUCUGAAAUCCAUGCGGGCCCGAGUGGGACAAAUGCUGGUUUUAGUGAGUCAUGUGGGCCAUGCUUGAAUAGCACCAGGUUGUGAGGUUGAACCACAGCCAGUGAGUUCGCAGGGGAAUCAUUACUAAUGUUUCCAAGGAUGUUAUAUCUCUGUUUGACGUGUUUAAACACUUCAUUUCACAAAGGAAUUUUGACUCUCAUGAUUCUGUUGUGUUGUUAGCAGCUCAGGAUCCUUGUGACAGUCUGUAUUUGGAUAAUUUAAAUAAAGUUAAUGUUUCUCUCUCCCUCUCUCUC